rnacentral:rRNA from 1 species
AAAUUGAAGAGUUUGAUCAUGGCUCAGAUUGAACGCUGGCGGCAGCCUAACACAUGCAAGUCGAGCGGAAACGAGUUAUCUGAACCUUCGGGGACGAUAACGGCGUCGAGCGGCGGACGGGUGAGUAAUGCCUAGGAAAUUGCCCUGAUGUGGGGAUAACCAUUGGAAACGAUGGCUAAUACCGCAUGAUGCCUACGGGCCAAAGAGGGGGACCUUCGGGCCUCUCGCGUCAGGAUAUGCCUAGGUGGGAUUAGCUAGUUGGUGAGGUAAGGGCUCACCAAGGCGACGAUCCCUAGCUGGUCUGAGAGGAUGAUCAGCCACACUGGAACUGAGACACGGUCCAGACUCCUACGGGAGGCAGCAGUGGGGAAUAUUGCACAAUGGGCGCAAGCCUGAUGCAGCCAUGCCGCGUGUGUGAAGAAGGCCUUCGGGUUGUAAAGCACUUUCAGUCGUGAGGAAGGUAGUGUAGUUAAUAGCUGCAUUAUUUGACGUUAGCGACAGAAGAAGCACCGGCUAACUCCGUGCCAGCAGCCGCGGUAAUACGGAGGGUGCGAGCGUUAAUCGGAAUUACUGGGCGUAAAGCGCAUGCAGGUGGUUUGUUAAGUCAGAUGUGAAAGCCGGGGCUCAACCUCGGAAUUGCAUUUGAAACUGGCAGACUAGAGUACUGUAGAGGGGGGUAGAAUUUCAGGUGUAGCGGUGAAAUGCGUAGAGAUCUGAAGGAAUACCGGUGGCGAAGGCGGCCCCCUGGACAGAUACUGACACUCAGAUGCGAAAGCGUGGGGAGCAAACAGGAUUAGAUACCCUGGUAGUCCACGCCGUAAACGAUGUCUACUUGGAGGUUGUGGCCUUGAGCCGUGGCUUUCGGAGCUAACGCGUUAAGUAGACCGCCUGGGGAGUACGGUCGCAAGAUUAAAACUCAAAUGAAUUGACGGGGCCCGCACAAGCGGUGGAGCAUGUGGUUUAAUUCGAUGCAACGCGAAGAACCUUACCUACUCUUGACAUCCAGAGAACUUUCCAGAGAUGGAUUGGUGCCUUCGGGAACUCUGAGACAGGUGCUGCAUGGCUGUCGUCAGCUCGUGUUGUGAAAUGUUGGGUUAAGUCCCGCAACGAGCGCAACCCUUAUCCUUGUUUGCCAGCGAGUAAUGUCGGAACUCCAGGGAGACUGCCGGUGAUAAACCGGAGGAAGGUGGGGACGACGUCAAGUCAUCAUGGCCCUUACGAGUAGGGCUACACACGUGCUACAAUGGCGCAUACAGAGGGCAGCCAACUUGCGAAAGUGAGCGAAUCCCAAAAAGUGCGUCGUAGUCCGGAUUGGAGUCUGCAACUCGACUCCAUGAAGUCGGAAUCGCUAGUAAUCGUGGAUCAGAAUGCCACGGUGAAUACGUUCCCGGGCCUUGUACACACCGCCCGUCACACCAUGGGAGUGGGCUGCAAAAGAAGUAGGUAGUUUAACCUUCGGGGGGACGCUUACCACUUUGUGGUUCAUGACUGGGGUGAAGUCGUAACAAGGUAGCGCUAGGGGAACCUGGCGCUGGAUCACCUCCUUAAACGAUGAU